AAUUGUUGUGUGUCUCCUAAUGGCGGUUUGUUGUCAUGAAAACGGUUCGCUGUUUUCAUUCAAUUCGCAGAAAUAUCGUAGGUAAAUUUAAGAUAAUGUUUACAUUUUAUCGGCGAUGCCUUUUAUUUCAUUGAUGUUUUGGCAUAAUCUUCAUAUUUUUCACUGUACCUUUGUAUGAGAGUGAAUGUAAAGAAACAGGAAACUCAAAAGUCUCAACUCUGCUGUUUGCCGAAUUUGCUCAUGGUCUGCUUAGCAAUAUUUUUCAAGAGAUGCAGGUUCAACAUGAUUAUCUUGUUUAUUAUUGAAGAUUUAUUGAUAAACAUGAUGUUGAUAACUAUUGUCGUGUAGCAUGUUUCUAAUGCCAUUAAACAGGCAGAUGGACCAGCUGCCCAGACUGUUCAGCCCUGACUGUCAUUAUUCUUCAGCUUUCCAAAAAUUCACUAGUCAGCAUCAUCAUGUGGACUGGACAUACUGGAUGAUCAGGACUAGAAAUCUUCACAUUCUUAAAAAACCUGAUGAGCAUCACCAAAAAAGAGACUUGGUUGUUGAUCUGACUUUUCCUAUUCAUCCUUGAAGCGAAAAAUCGAGCAAAUAAAAAGCGAAAAAAAAACAAACACACAUUUAACGCUCUAUUCACCCCCGUCUGAAUGAUCGGUAAAACUGAUCGGUAAAACUGAAUUGAGAGCAAAGUCGUCCAUUCGCACCCGAUGACUGGCAAGACACAAACGGCCGAUAUGGCCACUUCAGCCGACAAGUCUAUGAAGAAAUGUGUAUUAUUUUACGCUGAGCCCUGAUUUGCUACCAGUUAGCAGUGACAAUCACCGACAUUUUGUGUCAACAAAACCUUAUUGUAGCCCCAAUCGUCAAUUUCCUAAGUAUGGAUAGCAUUGUCUGGAUAAUAACAUUAAAUUCCGGCGAGCAUCUCUUGGUCCUCCCUUUUGUUCGUAGGAAAGGGUCGUGAUGCUGCCAGUAGGGGAUUGUUAUAGUUAACCGCUGAAUUCCUUUUUUGUUCAGCGAAUGCAAAAUGAUUGUUGGAUUUCUUUUUGCUUUGUCUUUUAGGAAAGUUUCCGGAAGUAACAUCAGGAGUAGAAAAUGCUCAUCAAG